rnacentral:rRNA from 1 species
UACGAAGGGGGCUAGCGUUGUUCGGAAUUACUGGGCGUAAAGCGCACGUAGGCGGGCAUUUAAGUCAGGGGUGAAAUCCCGGAGCUCAACUCCGGAACUGCCCUUGAUACUGGAUGUCUUGAGUUCGAGAGAGGUAAGUGGAAUUCCGAGUGUAGAGGUGAAAUUCGUAGAUAUCGGGAAGAACAUCAGUGGCGAAGGCGACUCACUGGUCCGAUACUGACGCUGAGAUACGAAAGCGUGGGGAGCAAACAGG